GGUGAGAUGGCCGAGUGGUCUAAGGCGCUAGAUUUAGGUCAUGGAUCUAAGACUCUAGUCAUUCGUGGCGUGGGUUCGAAUCCCACUCUCAUCA
rfam:Lentinula edodes NBRC 111202 DNA, contig: scaffold48.